AGUGAACGCUGGCGGUAGGCCUAACACAUGCAAGUCGAACGGCAGCACAGGAGAGCUUGCUCUCUGGGUGGCGAGUGGCGGACGGGUGAGGAAUACAUCGGAAUCUACUCUGUCGUGGGGGAUAACGUAGGGAAACUUACGCUAAUACCGCAUACGACCUACGGGUGAAAGCAGGGGACCUUCGGGCCUUGCGCGAUUGAAUGAGCCGAUGUCGGAUUAGCUAGUUGGCGGGGUAAAGGCCGACCAAGGCGACGGUCCGUAGCUGGUCUGAGAGGAUGAUCAGCCACACUGGAACUGAGACACGGUCCAGACUCCUACGGGAGGCAGCAGUGGGGAAUAUUGGACAAUGGGCGCAAGCCUGAUCCAGCCAUACCGCGUGGGUUAAGAAGGCCUUCGGGUUGUAAAGCCCUUUUGUUGGGAAAGAAAUCCAGCUGGCUAAUACCCGGUUGGGAUGACGGUACCCAAAGAAUAAGCACCGGCUAACUUCGUGCCAGCAGCCGCAGUAA
rnacentral:rRNA from 1 species